rnacentral:rRNA from 1 species
GACGAACCGAGCGAACGUUGUUCGGAAUGACUGGGCGUAAAGGGCGCGUAGGCGGUUUGUACAGUCAGAUGUGAAAUUCCCGGGCUCAACCUGGGGGCUGCAUUUGAUACGUGCGGACUUGAGUGGGGAAGAGGGUCGUGGAAUUCCCAGUGUAGAGGUGAAAUUCGUAGAUAUUGGGAAGAACACCGGUGGCGAAGGCGGCGACCUGGUCCUUGACUGACGCUGAGGCGCGAAAGCGUGGGGAGCAAACAGG